rnacentral:rRNA from 1 species
GACAGGGCGCACGGGCGUAUUCGUUAUGAUUGGGUGUAAAGGGUACGUAGGUUGCUGUUGAAAUUCUUGGCUCAAAACGCGGAGUGUUCCUACGCGCAGCCCUUUAAAGAUCCAGCUAGAGUCGAGUUGAGGUUGGGGAAAUUUCUCAUGUAGGGGUAAAAUCCUGCAAUAUGAGAAGGAACACCAGCAAGCAAAGGCGCCUUUCUAUUCUCGACUGACGCUAAGGUACGGAAGCCUGGGGAGCAAACAGA